ACUGCAGGCUGCAACUCGCCUGCACGAAGUCGGAAUUGCUAGUAAUCGUAGGUCAGCAUACUACGGUGAAUACGUUCCCGGGCCUUGUACACACCGCCCGUCCAAACCAUGAGAGUUGGCAACACCCGAAGUCGGUAGUCUAACCGCAAGGAGGACGCCGCCGAAGGUGGGGGUUGAUGAUCAGGGGUUAAGUCGUAACAAGGUAUC
rnacentral:rRNA from 1 species